AACGAACGCUGGCGGCAGGCUUAACACAUGCAAGUCGAGCGCCCCGCAAGGGGAGCGGCAGACGGGUGAGUAACGCGUGGGAAUCUACCCAUCUCUACGGAAUAACGCAUGGAAACGUGUGCUAAUACCGUAUACGUCCUUCGGGAGAAAGAUUUAUCGGAGAUGGAUGAGCCCGCGUUGGAUGAGCUAGUUGGUGGGGUAAAGGCCUACCAAGGCGACGAUCCAUAGCUGGUCUGAGAGGAUGAUCAGCCACACUGGGACUGAGACACGGCCCAGACUACUACGGGAGGCAGCAGUGGGGAAUAUUGGACAAUGGGCGCAAGCCUGAUCCGGCCAUGCCGCGUGAGUGAUGAAGGCCCUAGGGUUGUAAAGCUCUUUCACCGGUGAAGAUAAUGACGGUAACCGGAGAAGAAGCCCCGGCUAACUUCGUGCCAGCAGCCGCGGUAACAC
rnacentral:rRNA from 1 species